rnacentral:tRNA from 1 species
AAGCUUAAAGCGAUAGAUUGUAAAUCUAUAGAAGAGUUAGGUUUAUUUAUCUCUUA